rnacentral:lncRNA from 1 species
UGUUGCUGGUUACUAAAUUAAAUAAAAUACAAAAAGGUAUUAUACUCUUUACAGCUUAAUUUUAUUAACUUUAUUAAAAACCCUAACUGGGCUUGCAUUAAUAUAGGGCCAUUACAGAAAUAAAGGGCAUUAUCAGAAAAACAGGGCAUUACUGAAAAACAGGGCCAUUACAGAAAAACAGGGCCAUUACAGAAAAUAUGUUAUUUUUAAUAACCAGUCAUUUUUGG